ACACACACACACACACACUCUCUCUCUCUCUCACUCUCUCUCACUCUCCCUCUCUCCCUCUUUCUCAUUCUGAUGCCCUCUGGAGGGCCUGGCUUUUCGCCUGACCCAGCUUGCUGGUCCGACAACCGGUUCCUAUGCAGGUGCUGAUCCCGAGGUCAUUCACCAACCACGCCUGAGCUCAUCCCACAAGUCCCGAGGACGUCUGCCUAGCCACUUUUACAUUCAAACCUGUGCCAGAUCCGCAUUCCCAAGAGCCACGACCCACUCCAAUAACAACAGGCAAACCACCGUGCGCGCCUCCCCGUCCAGAGACAAGCAACGCGAUCCCCGACGCCCGGAGCAAGAUGCGGGAGCUACGCACACAGAGUUAAGUAAUAAAUGACAGAGAUGGAAUUCCAUCCGCAACUAGAGUUGGGGUUCUCAAUGCAAAGCUGGCCCCUCAGUUUUUAAAGUUCCCAGGAAAGAAUUGUGAUUGAAUCACCUUGGAUCAGGUUCCCACCCCAGACAAGUCCAGUUAGGGAUGAACUAAGUCAUGUAUGUGACCUAAGAAGGACGCCCUAGAAAAACAUGACACUUCAGAGAUAGAGGAAGCCAAAAUUGAAGAACUGGUUAACAGCAGAAUUACUGUUUACUCCCAGAUUAUCAUGCUUAGUAUCUUUCCCCAGAAAUUUGAAACAGUACAAUUAAGCUUCUACUUGGAACAUGUACCACCUAGCAUCUGAGACAAUAUUAUUGGAAAAAUCCUCUUAACAAUAAGCAGACUGAAACACAUUCCUGAAAAUGUUCAGAAAAUCAACAUUUAUAAAGCUUUGGACAAUUCCGAAAAAGGCUUGAAUUAUUUCCCACUCACCCCAUAGAAUUGCACACCUCGUCUGUGUGUUCUUUUCUUCGCUGUGGCAAUUAUAGCUCCCUAUCAUCUAUGUGCUAAGCAGAAUACUGUGCACCUGUGCCCUUUGUCCACUUGUCUUCCAUUUCCCCCUCAUGCCCACUUUCCUUCCUUUUCCAUCUUUCUCUGGGCUCCAGAAGGCUAGCUUGUAUAGAAUGCUUCAGUGGGCUUCCAGUUAGGUUUGAUGAUUGGAGGUAAUACAGGGAGAUGAUAGGACAGAGGUGAAAUAGGUCAGGAAUUCACCCCUCUGGCACCUCCCUUACUAGUCACUACAGUUGACUUCAUUCCUCUGUGAAAGUUUCUGUGGAGCAGCCCUCUCCAGGGUCACUGUCAACACUCCUUCCUCUGGCCCUUCGAGCCUAGAGGCAGGAACGCCCCUCCGCCGCCCUACUUGCCCUAGGAUGCUGUGUCUUCUGCUGUUGAUGUUCCUGAAAACCCACCCACCUCAUUGUAAAUAGUUCUUCUCCUAAUGCAGAGAUUAGCAUAUGAAGUGAAGUAAGUCAGAAAGAGAAGG